UACGGAGGGGGCUAGCGUUGUUCGGAAUUACUGGGCGUAAAGCGCGCGUAGGCGGACCUGCAAGUCGGGGGUGAAAGCCCGAGGCUCAACCUCGGAACUGCCUUCGAUACUGCGGGUCUCGAGUCCGGGAGAGGUGAGUGGAAUUCCUAGUGUAGAGGUGAAAUUCGUAGACAUUAGGAAGAACACCAGUGGCGAAGGCGGCUCACUGGCCCGGUACUGACGCUGAGGCGACGAAAGCGUGGGGAGCAAACAGG
rnacentral:rRNA from 1 species